GACUACAUGAAGCUGGAAUCGCUAGUAAUCGCGGAUCAGAAUGCCGCGGUGAAUACGUUCCCGGGUCUUGUACACACCGCCCGUCACACCAUGGGAGUCGGAAAUGCCCGAAGUCUGUGACCUAACCGUAAGGGAGGAGCAGCCGAAGGCAGGUCGGAUGACUGGGGUGAAGUCGUAACAAGGUACC
rnacentral:rRNA from 1 species